GACAGCUUUAGCAGUCCCAGUAUUACCAGAACUCAGUGGUGGACACUGCCAGGGCUGCAAUCAGGCCCACGACGAAGAGAUGAAUGCCAGAGUCAGGAUUUUGGCCAAGAGGAUACUGUGAUGAUCCAUAGCAGAGGGAUAGAAGGAUGGGGAAUUGUGCAGCAAUGGCAAUCUGGAGAUUAAAUUUUAGGAAACUGGAGUCUGAGCAGCCACUUAUGGAACUGUUUUUAAGAGUCUUUCAGGGAAGGAAGAAAGAUAACCAAGGCUGCACGUAUCAAAGAGAGGGUUCCCAGGUUCUCUGAUGCAAUCUGGGGGACCUUAGUUCUGGAGGUCAAAAGGAGGUUAGCAGUCAUGUUCCCACAGGGGGCCAGGAGGCUGUCAAGGAAUACCCUAAGAAAGGAUUGAGAGCAGGUGGCCAGGGAGGUGAAUUUGAGGAGUCUGACCCUGAGGAUCUGGCUGCAAUGCCACAAAAACUUCAAUAACCUCACAUGAGAGUUGAAGGCUUGCCAGGCUUCCUAAACGCACCACUGAGAGCAAGACAAGAUCACAGCGGCAACUGAGGGGGUCAACCUACCUCAUGAAAAUAUGGCAUUAAAUGCUCAGUACUCAAAGUUACUUUCUGACCUGCUUGGCAAAUGGGUUUGUUCACAAUAGCUCAGAAUACUAGGAAGUGUAUAGACAGAGAAGGUUUGACGAACCUGCAAGGUCACCUUGUCUGUCUUGUUUAGGUCAUCAAACUGCUUCCAACACUGAAUCCAGGAGCAUAGCACCAUGCUUCUACAGCUGAUCUCUUCUGCAAUCUCCAACCAUGUCUUCUUUAGCUGCAGGCAUCUUCCUACCACUGAUAGAGAAAAGCAUGUCUCCAAUCCUCACUGAACCCAGCAGCACAUCAGGGAGGGUUCAGUAAAGAAAGGCACAGCAUUGAGGGCCUGGACUCCUUUAUGAAUCUUCCUCUUUACUUCCUACCAAAUCCAAUCCUUCAACCUGCAACUUUGAAUAGUUGUUUUAAAUGCUGAAGCUGAGAUUGCACCAAGUGUGUCCCGCUGUAACUGAUUGGACAGGAAAUUUGUAAAUAAAAUUAUAAUGAGGUGGUGCUGUUAAAAAGUCAUUGACAGAUGCAUUGAACUUACUUAUGUUUCUCCUACAUGAUAUCAGAUCCCUGUCACAGUCACAUCAUAUGCCCAUAAAGCAGCAAUAGAAUGUGGACAUUGUAACUUAAGGUGGACUCCAGAGGGGUCAGGUGACUUCUUCUGUGGUUUAUAUACAGGCAGAGACUAACUUUGUGUUUGGACAUGUUUCUGAAAAGUCAUUAAAAAGUAAAUGGCCUUCCCAGGUGUUGGUGACCGCCCUCGCCAUUUCAAUUAAAGAGACUUAAAAUAACAAUGGCUAUUAGACUUGUUAGCCCCAUGAAGAUGAGAUUUCAAAUAAAUACAUUCAGGAGGCUGCUCAUGGCUGGAAUGUUGAUAGGAUAUCCUUCAUUCUCCAUUGUGUGCCAAUUACAUCUGCCAUCAACUCAUUGUAUGGACAAUGGAAUAUAUCAAUACUGUUGUCACAAACCUGAAACUGGCUGGAGGUAGCUAAUAUUUUAUUAAUCCAAAAGGGAAGCCAAGUGAGCCAAUCUGGGAUACGAAGGCUAGAGAGAUACCAUCUCUCGCCCAGCACAAGGGAGGACUCUGCCUCAAAUUUACCUUAGGCAGAGCAGAAGGGCUUAUUAUGUAGUGAAGCUUAUAGUCCUUCACAACAGGGUUUUGACCAACUUAGAUUAAAAGCCAGAAGCUUGUUAUUGUUUGGGGUGAACCAGUGUGAAUCCAUCACCAGAAACCUCCAACCUUCAUUUUUCUUUGGUACAUCAAGUGAGAAUCCUUUAGAUCUGCAAUGAUUCAAUUACCAUCUUGCAGACCAAUUAGAAGUAAACUUAGUUAUUUCAAAGAGUUAAAAAAAAGUUCACUUCUAAAAGUUCAUGCUACAUCUUUAGAAAUCAUCUUUCCUUGUGUGUGAUGUGUGUUUUGCUGUGAAUGAGGUGAGAGUGUUGUUGCAUUUACAUUUCAGGUAUUGUGAGAAA